rnacentral:misc_RNA from 1 species
GAACGCACAUUGCGCCCCUUGGUAUUCCGAGGGGCAUGCCUGUUCGAGCGUCAUUAUAACCACUCAAGCCUCGGCUUGGUCUUGGGGUUCGCGGUCUCGCGGCCCUUAAAAUCAGUGGCGGUGCCGUCUGGCUCUAAGCGUAGUAAUUUUCUCGCUAUAGGGUCCAGGUGACCACCUGCCAUAACCCCCCAUUCUUUACGGUUGACCUCGGAUCAGGUAGGGAUACCCGCUGAACUUAAG